rnacentral:rRNA from 1 species
UACGUAGGGUGCAAGCGUUGUCCGGAAUUAUUGGGCGUAAAGAGCUCGUAGGCGGUUUGUUGCGUCGGCUGUGAAAUCCCGAGGCUCAACCUCGGGUCUGCAGUCGAUACGAGCAAACUAGAGUGUUGCAGGGGAGACUGGAAUUCCUGGUGUAGCAGUGGAAUGCGCAGAUAUCAGGAGGAACACCGGUGGCGAAGGCGGGUCUCUGGGCAGUAACUGACGCUGAGGAGCGAAAGCGUGGGGAGCGAACAGG